CGCUCUGAAGUGAGUAGUGCAAUUACGUUCACUCGACCGAAAUGUAACAAGAUGGCGACGGAUUGAUGACCCGCCGAGUACGUGAACGUCUGUCUUGCUUGUGUGAUAUCUGACAAUUUAUAACAACUCGAUAGUUAAUUUAUUACAUCAGAAAAUGGGUUCGUCGGAUUUGGAAUAUCUUGAAUCAAAGCGCGAUGGACACAGCUUCGAGGAUGAUUCCGACGUUGCAGAGCAGAGGAAAAAAAAGAAGAGGAAACACAAGCAUCAUAAGCAUAAAAAGGAUAAAAUGGGGGACAGGGAAGACAGGAAAAAACAUAAAAAACACAAGAAGCCUCGAAAAGAACGAGAGCAAGAGAAUGGCACGACCGAUGAAAAAAUUCGCCACGUCCCAAAGGAUCCUCCCCCAGUGAAUGGCAAGCUAGACCAUGUAAUGGAGAUUCCCUCGACCGAGAGCGAGGACGAGAAGCUCGUCGACCUGGACUCCGACGAGGUAGAUUGCACGAUAAUCGAGGAUGACAUCGACCUGGAAGAGCUGAUGAAGCAGAAAGAGCGUUUACAAGCCUGCCUAGUGCAAUACCUUUUAGAUGAGUCAGAAAAAACGGAUAAGGAGCCAGAGCCCGAGGACUCCCUAAAGCCCGAGACCCCAGACGUGAUAGUCGUCGAGGACGACAGUGGGGAUGAAGUAUCCUCGCGUAAAAAGCGUUAUAGAAGCAGAUCAGGAAGUCGAGAUCGCAAGAAGUUGAUUAAAACCGAGCGCAGAGUUGUCAUUGACAUGACGCGUGACAGCAAAAAGCCAAAAGACGACUCGAAGGAAAAGAAAUUGGACAAAAAACGUGAGGAGAAGGUUCGCCCGAAGGAGGACACCAGAAAGGACGAGAGAAAGCCUGAGAGAUUCAAUCGAAAGCAGCUGGAUAGAGAAAAGCCAAAAGAGGAAUUCAGAAAAGAUGAACUUCGUAAAAAAACAGAUGAUGAGAAACGAAAGGACUCGAAACGUGAAUCUCCAAAAAAGCGAGAGACUGAUCAUUCCUGCAGAUCUAGGGAGACGAGGAACGAGCGGAGAUUCAGCAAAGAGAGAGACAGACGGAGCAAAGACAGGAGCUCCCGUGACCGUCACAGUAGUCGAGACAAAGCUGAAGUAAGGGAUGGACAAGCCUCUCGUGAUCGUCACGCGUCGAUCAGGGAUAGGGAGUCCAGCAAAGAUCGUAGAGACAGUAGGAAUCACGAUAAGCCCCGUGAGAGGUCUAGAAGUGCUCGGCGAUCGCGUUCACCGCGCCACAGGGGCGAUCGCGACAGAAACGACAGAUGGAGGAGAUCGCGAUCGACGUCUCGAACUCGUCGGGAUAGCCGGUAUGGGAAAGACGACCGGGAGAAAAAUGGAAAACGUGAGAGGAGUGACAAAUACAAGGACUCUUUAUCAGAGGGCCUCAAAGUUGAUAAAUCAGAGAGCUCCAGUGAGGAGGAGAUCAAGGACAUCGAUAUCGAGGAGGAAGAGGACGAGGAGGCCAUCAUCGAACGGCGGAGGAAACAGAGGGAGGAACUGCUGAAGAGACUUGGAGGACCUCCCGAUGACUCGAAUCUCUCUGCUGACAUGAGCAUCACGGCCGCCUCCCCUGUCACUGUCCAAUCCAACUCCUCUCCAAAGUCCGUUGAGGUGGUGACGAAUAACAACGAAUCGACUUCUGAGAGCCACACACCACCUUUGCCCAGGGAGAAAUCACCACUGACUGGGAAGAGACGAAAAUCUAGGUUCGAUGACGCUCCAGAGAAUAAGGAGAAUAAGAAAUUAGAGGAGAAGGAGAGCGAGGAGAAAAAUGGCGGGAAGGAGGAAAAAACAGUCUCGAAGAAGGCUAAUGAGUGGGAUAUGUUUGCUGAAGCUGAUAAUAUUGCUGACUUCAACAGCCCCACAGUGGAGGGAAAAAGACCUGGGGGACCGGACAAUCCGAGCUUGACUGAUAACUGGGACGAUGCUGAGGGGUAUUACAGGGUCAGGGUGAGCGAGACACUUGACUCCCGAUAUGUGGUUUAUGGGUACACUGGACAAGGAGUGUUUAGUAAUGUUGUCAGGGCUAGGGAUACUGCCAGGGGAAACAUGGAUGUUGCUGUGAAAAUUAUUAGGAACAACGAAAUCAUGCAUAGGACUGGACUGAAGGAAUUAGAAGUCCUAAGAAAACUCAACGACGCUGAUCCAGAGGAUCGUUUCCAUUGCUUACGGUUAUUCAGACACUUUUUCCAUAAGAAUCACUUGUGCAUGGUGUUUGAACCACUCGCAAUGAAUUUGAGAGAGGUUCUUAAAAAAUAUGGGAAGGACGUCGGACUGCACGUGAAAGCCGUACGUUCAUACACUCAACAGCUGUUUUUGGCAUUGAAACUGCUGAAACGUGCUAAUAUUCUUCACGGUGAUAUUAAACCCGAUAAUAUUCUAGUCAGCGAGACGAAGCUCGUACUGAAGCUUUGCGAUUUUGGAUCAGCCUCUCAUGCACACGAGAAUGAGGUCACGCCGUAUCUUGUCUCCAGGUUCUACCGGGCUCCAGAAAUUAUUCUUGGUAUCCCUUAUGAUUUUGGAAUUGACAUGUGGUCAGUGGGCUGCACCAUCUACGAACUCUACACUGGAAAAAUCAUGUUCUCAGGCAAGACAAACAAUCAAAUGUUGAAAUUUUUCAUGGAUCUCAAAGGAAAAAUGCCCAACAAAUUGAUAAGAAAGGGAACUUUCAAGGAACAGCAUUUCGAUACAAACUGCAAUUUCCUUUAUCACGAAGUCGAUAAGGUGACAGAGCGGGAGAAAGUCGUGGUAAUGUCGACACUACCAGCGAGUCGUGAUCUCGGUGCUGAGCUGGGAGGCAAUUCACUGCCAGCCGAGCAGAAUCGUAAAGUUGGUCAACUGAAGGAUCUACUGGAGCGUACCCUUAUGUUGGACGCUGGGAAGAGAAUAACCGUCAACCAUGCACUGGCCCAUCCAUUUAUACAAGAAAAAAUCUAGGUAAUCCCUAGUGCCCGAGGAAGCCAUCGUGCACAGAGAUUUAUCUCAGUGGGAUUAAUAACGUAAUUCUUUAAUGUUGAAUUUCGACACAUUUUUAAUGUUGAAUUUUUUAUUUUUAAAUUGAAUAUCAUUGAAUACUUCGUGCAAAAGAAGUCACUUAUUCUUUUGCAAAGAGACGAUUGAUUUCCCCGAAUCUACCUCGAGGACUCAUCAAUAUUUUAAACAAUUAUUUUAGUUAUAAACUGGUUGCAAAUUGAAUUCCAUUUCUUUUUCCGCUCUUGGAAUUUAUCGUAUUCUAUUUAAUUAAUUUGGGAUGAAAAUUCAUCAAUUGAGCAUAAUCAUGGAUAUAACUACUACAAUAUAUAUGAGAUAUAUAUACACAUAAAAGGAAAAUGUUCUUUCUCCGUCAUCACCAGAGAUCGCGAUUUUUCUCGUUAAUUAUACUGAUUGUUCAAUGAAUUUUUCUUUAUAAUUUAUGGCACUGCGUGAUGCUGCAGCUCAUCCUUCGGAUUUUUCCGUUCAACUAUCAUUUCUAGAGGAAGGGUGUAGGUGUUUGAGAAUUGUUGAUUACUACGUUCAUAAGAAAGCAAAAAGGAAAAAAAAUAUAUCACUAACUACACACGCGUUUACACAAUCGUAAGAGCGAGACUAUAAAACGCUACAUGACUCAUUUUAUCACUUAAAAACCACAUGGCAUGCGUACGACAAACAACAAUGGAAAAAGAAAUUAAAUGGAAAAAUCGAUAAAGAAUUUAGUGUACUAACAUUUGGAGACGAAGGAAGGAAAAAAUUGUAUAGUAAUUAGGCUUGUAGUUGAAAUAAAACGCUUGAGUGAUUGAUAAUCGAGAUAAAAAAAAUUGGAGGCGAUUACGAGAGGUCCAGUGACAACAACGUGUAAGAAAAAACAAAAAAAUACAUGAUAACUAAUUUAUGGAAUAAAUGUAAACAACUAUUUGCAUUCACGUAGUUCCCGGUAUGAUAAUUAUGCUGAUUAUCGAAGGCAAGAUUGUACGUUGCUGCUUAUGUUUCAGAUGUCAUCUUCUAUAACGAAUCAACGUUAUACGCAGGCGGACUGUAGCAAGGGCCAAAUAAUAGGCGCUGUUUCCCGCUGCAAGCCCUCCCUGUGAGGAGGGGAGGCAAGGCGUUCAGGAUUUGAGGAGUGUCAAGUGAGAGCCACGUGGGAGCUGUGGAGAAUUCCUGGGCUUUUGCUUGUCGUCUUUCCAUCGGCGAGUCUAUUACGUAGGUUUGAAGGAACUUGUGUUUUUUCAGGGAGUGAGUAAGUAUGUCUCGUCAGCAGGUAUGGUAUAUGUGGAUUAAUUAAAUCAAAUUUUUUACAUUUUUUUAGCAUUUAAUUUUUUUUGUUUAGAGAAUUUCUCAGGUGUUGUCUGUAAGUCACGUCUCGUAUUGUGGGAAAAGGCGGGAGAGGGCGAGAGCGAGAGAGAGACAGUGCAUGAGUUGAUAUCUCUGAUUGCAGAUUGUGUACUUAUGUGGAAUAAUGUAAACUCGGUUGAGAAGAGGAUUUAAUUAAAUUACGUAAGCGUGUACCUGACUAUUAUGGAUUAUCUGGAUUAUUUUAUAGUUAAGGAAUAAACAGCUUGACUCAUCA